GACAGAGGUGCCGAGCGUUAGGCGGAAUCACUGGGCUUAAAGCGUGUGUAGGCGGACUUCUAAGUACCUUGUGAAAUCCCACGGCUCAACCGUGGAACUGCUUGGUAUACUGGUUGUCUUGAGCCACUUAGGGGCAGUCGGAACAGACGGUGGAGCGGUGAAAUGCGUAGAUAUCGCUUGGAACGCCAAAGGUGAAAACAGGUUGCUGGGGAUGCGCUGACACUGAGACGCGAAAGCCAGGGGAGCGAACGGG
rnacentral:rRNA from 1 species